GGGACACGUGGUAUCCUGUCUGAAUAUGGGGGGACCAUCCUCCAAGGCUAAAUACUCCUGACUGACCGAUAGUGAACCAGUACCGUGAGGGAAAGGCGAAAAGAACCCCGGCGAGGGGAGUGAAAAAGAACCUGAAACCGUGUACGUACAAGCAGUGGGAGCACGCUUAGGCGUGUGACUGCGUACCUUUUGUAUAAUGGGUCAGCGACUUAUAUUCUGUAGCAAGGUUAACCGAAUAGGGGAGCCGAAGGGAAACCGAGUCUUAACUGGGCGUUAAGUUGCAGGGUAUAGACCCGAAACCCGGUGAUCUAGCCAUGGGCAGGUUGAAGGUUGGGUAACACUAACUGGAGGACCGAACCGACUAAUGUUGAAAAAUUAGCGGAUGACUUGUGGCUGGGGGUGAAAGGCCAAUCAAACCGGGAGAUAGCUGGUUCUCCCCGAAAGCUAUUUAGGUAGCGCCUCGUGAAUUCAUCUCCGGGGGUAGAGCACUGUUUCGGCAAGGGGGUCAUCCCGACUUACCAACCCGAUGCAAACUGCGAAUACCGGAGAAUGUUAUCACGGGAGACACACGGCGGGUGCUAACGUCCGUCGUGAAGAGGGAAACAACCCAGACCGCCAGCUAAGGUCCCAAAGUCAUGGUUAAGUGGGAAACGAUGUGGGAAGGCCCAGACAGCCAGGAUGUUGGCUUAGAAGCAGCCAUCAUUUAAAGAAAGCGUAAUAGCUCACUGGUCGAGUCGGCCUGCGCGGAAGAUGUAACGGGGCUAAACCAUGCACCGAAGCUGCGGCAGCGACACUAUGUGUUGUUGGGUAGGGGAGCGUUCUGUAAGCCUGUGAAGGUGUGCUGUGAGGCAUGCUGGAGGUAUCAGAAGUGCGAAUGCUGACAUAAGUAACGAUAAAGCGGGUGAAAAGCCCGCUCGCCGGAAGACCAAGGGUUCCUGUCCAACGUUAAUCGGGGCAGGGUGAGUCGACCCCUAAGGCGAGGCCGAAAGGCGUAGUCGAUGGGAAACAGGUUAAUAUUCCUGUACUUGGUGUUACUGCGAAGGGGGGACGGAGAAGGCUAUGUUGGCCGGGCGACGGUUGUCCCGGUUUAAGCGUGUAGGCUGGUUUUCCAGGCAAAUCCGGAAAAUCAAGGCUGAGGCGUGAUGACGAGGCACUACGGUGCUGAAGCAACAAAUGCCCUGCUUCCAGGAAAAGCCUCUAAGCAUCAGGUAACAUCAAAUCGUACCCCAAACCGACACAGGUGGUCAGGUAGAGAAUACCAAGGCGCUUGAGAGAACUCGGGUGAAGGAACUAGGCAAAAUGGUGCCGUAACUUCGGGAGAAGGCACGCUGAUAUGUAGGUGAAGUCCC
rnacentral:rRNA from 1 species